rnacentral:rRNA from 1 species
AUUGAACGCUGGCGGCAGGCCUAACACAUGCAAGUCGAGCGGAUGCAGGGAGCUUGCUCCUGGAUUCAGCGGCGGACGGGUGAGUAAUGCCUAGGAAUCUGCCUGGUAGUGGGGGAUAACGUCCGGACACGGGCGCUAAUACCGCAUACGUCCAGAGGGAGAACGUGGGGGAUCUUCGGACCUCACGCUAUCAGAUGAGCCUAGGUCGGAUUAGCUAGUUGGUGGGGUAAAGGCCUACCAAGGCGACGAUCCGUAACUGGUCUGAGAGGAUGAUCAGUCACACUGGAACUGAGACACGGUCCAGACUCCUACGGGAGGCAGCAGUGGGGAAUAUUGGACAAUGGGCGAAAGCCUGAUCCAGCCAUGCCGCGUGUGUGAAGAAGGUCUUCGGAUUGUAAAGCACUUUAAGUUGGGAGGAAGGGCAGUAAGUUAAUACCUUGCUGUUUUGACGGUACCAACAGAAUAAGCACCGGCUAACUUCGUG